rnacentral:rRNA from 1 species
GACGAACGCUGGCGGCGUGCUUAACACAUGCAAGUCGAACGGUAAGGCCCUUCGGGGUACACGAGUGGCGAACGGGUGAGUAACACGUGGGUGAUCUGCCCUGCACUUCGGGAUAAGCCUGGGAAACUGGGUCUAAUACCGGAGAGGACCACUGCGUGCAUGGGUGGUGGGGGAAAGCUUUUGCGGUGUGGGAUGGGCCCGCGGCCUAUCAGCUUGUUGGUGGGGUGAGGGCCUACCAAGGCGCCGACGGGUAGCCGGCCUGAGAGGGUGACCGGCCACACUGGGACUGAGAUACGGCCCAGACUCCUACGGGAGGCAGCAGUGGGGAAUAUUGCACAAUGGGCGCAAGCCUGAUGCAGCGACGCCGCGUGAGGGAUGACGGCCUUCGGGUUGUAAACCUCUUUCAGCACCGACGAAGCGCAAGUGACGGUAGGUGCAGAAGAAGGACCGGCCAACUACGUGCCAGCCGCCGCGGUAA